rnacentral:rRNA from 1 species
CCUACGGGAGGCAGCAGUGGGGAAUAUUGGACAAUGGGCGAAAGCCUGAUCCAGCAAUGCCGCGUGAGUGAUGAAGGCCUUAGGGUUGUAAAGCUCUUUUACCAGGGAUGAUAAUGACAGUACCUGGAGAAUAAGCUCCGGCUAACUCCGUGCCAGCAGCCGCGGUAAUACGGAGGGAGCUAGCGUUGUUCGGAAUUACUGGGCGUAAAGCGUACGUAGGCGGUUAUUCAAGUCAGAGGUGAAAGCCUGGAGCUCAACUCCAGAACUGCCUUUGAAACUAGAUAGCUAGAAUCUUGGAGAGGUGAGUGGAAUUCCGAGUGUAGAGGUGAAAUUCGUAGAUAUUCGGAAGAACACCAGUGGCGAAGGCGACUCACUGGACAAGUAUUGACGCUGAGGUACGAAAGCGUGGGGAGCAAACAGGAUUAGAUACCCUGGCAGUCCACGCCGUAAACGAUGAUAACUAGCUGUUCGGGCUCUACGAGCUUGUAGUGGCGCAGCUACGACAUUAAGUUAGUCCGUCCGUGGGAGGUACGGUCGGCGAGUAAGUAAACUAACUUAAAUUAGUAAGUUAGUUACGGUCGUUGAGAGNGCCGACGGACGACGACGAGGGAGGAGG